UACGGGGGGGGUAAGCGUUGUUCGGAAUUACUGGGCGUAAAGGGCUCGUAGGCGGCCAACUAAGUCAGACGUGAAAUCCCUCAGCUUAACUGGGGAACUGCGUCUGAUACUGGAUGGCUUGGAUUCGGGAGAGGAAUGCGGAAUUCCAGGUGUAGCGGUGAAAUGCGUAGAUAUCAGGAGGAACACCGGUGGCGAAGGCGGUUCUCUGGGCCUGUACUGACGCUGAGGAACGAAAGCGUGGGGAGCGAACAGG
rnacentral:rRNA from 1 species